CCUACGGGAGGCAGCAGUGGGGAAUAUUGCACAAUGGGGGGAACCCUGAUGCAGCGACGCCGCGUGAGUGAAGAAGUAUUUCGGUAUGUAAAGCUCUAUCAGCAGGGAAGAAAAUGACGGUACGUGACUAAGAAGCCCCGGGUAACUACGUGCCAGCAGCCGCGGCAAUACGUAGGGGGCAAGCGUUAUCCGGAUUUACUGGGUGUAAAGGGAGCGUAGGCGGCUGUGCAAGUCUGGAGUGAAAGGCGGGGGUCCAACCCCCGGACUGCUCUUGAAACUGUAAAGCUGGAGUGCAGGAGAGGUAAGCGGAAUUCCUAGUGUAGCGGUGAAAUGCGUAGAUAUUAGGAGGAACACCAGUGGCGAAGGCGGCUUACUGGACUGCAACUGACGUUGAGGCUCGAAAGCGUGGGGAGCGAACAGGAUUAGAUACCCUGGUAGUC
rnacentral:rRNA from 1 species